CCCUUAGAUGUUCUGGGCCGCACGCGCGCUACACUGUUCGACGCAGCGAGUCUUAACCUUGACCGAAAGGUUUGGGUAAUCUUCAGCAAAGUCGAACGUGAUGGGGAUCGAUCAUUGCAAUUAUUGAUCGUGAACGAGGAAUUCCUAGUAAGUGCAAGUCAUCAGCUUGCGCUGAUUACGUCCCUGCCCUUUGUACACACCGCCCGUCGCUACUACCGAUUGAAUGGUUUAGUGAGAUCUCUGGAUUGACGCUGGCUAGGGGGCGACCCUUGGCCAGGCUGUCGAGAAACUGCUCAAACUUGAUCAUUUAGAGGAAGUAAAAGUCGUAAUA
rnacentral:rRNA from 1 species